ensembl:lncRNA
GGCGCCGUGGUCCGGGCUGGUGUAGUCGUGGGUGGCGGGGUCUCGGUUGUGUGGCUCCAGCUCCUGGCUGUCCUUCGCAGCACGGCGGAACAGGCCUGCGUCGUGCCUGGCCGGAGUCAGCCCUGCAGUCUCACAACCCUGACCAGCUGUGGAAGUUUUGAUUUUUCUCGGGUUCCCCCCACGACAUCUAAAGUCCCUCUUUUCCCUUAAGGUUGUGUGGCUGAACACCGACUCUGUUUGAUCAGCUCCACCUUGGGCUCACAGUGCUACUGCUUCCCUGUUCUGGGUGGCUGAACUUUAGCCCGCUCACAAGGAAUAAACACCAGCCAGGAUAACUUCCCAGGAGAGGACCAGCCACCAUCUUCAUGAGCUUUGUCCACUAUUCCUCUUCUGGCCUGCAGCCACGCUUGUCUGAGGAUGUGUCUACACCAACUUCUAUUUUCAAUUGGCUG